UAGGGAAUCUUCCGCAAUGGACGCAAGUCUGACGGAGCAACGCCGCGUGAGUGAAGAAGGAUUUCGGUUCGUAAAACUCUGUUGUUAGAGAAGAACAGCGCAUAGAGUAACUGUUAUGCGUGUGACGGUAUCUAACCAGAAAGCCACGGCUAACUACGUGCCAGCAGCCGCGGUAAUACGUAGGUGGCAAGCGUUGUCCGGAUUUAUUGGGCGUAAAGCGAGCGCAGGCGGUCAAUUAAGUCUGAUGGGAAAGCCCCCGGCUCAACCGGGGAGGGUCAUUGGAAACUGGUUGACUUGAGUGCAGAAGAGGAGAGUGGAAUUCCAUGUGUAGCGGUGAAAUGCGUAGAUAUAUGGAGGAACACCAGUGGCGAAGGCGACUUCUCUGGUCUGUAACUGACGCUGAGGCUCGAAAGCGUGGGUAGCAAACAGG
rnacentral:rRNA from 1 species